GGUGAGUUACGCGUGGGAACAUACCUUUUGGUUCGGAACAACACAGGGAAACUUGUGCUAAUACCGGAUAAGCCCUUACGGGGAAAGAUUUAUCGCCGAAAGAUUGGCCCGCGUCUGAUUAGCUAGUUGGUGAGGUAAUGGCUCACCAAGGCGACGAUCAGUAGCUGGUCUGAGAGGAUGAUCAGCCACCUUGGGACUGAGACACGGCCCAAACUCCUACGGGAGGCAGCAGUGGGGAAUAUUGGACAAUGGGCGCAAGCCUGAUCCAGCCAUGCCGCGUGAGUGAUGAAGGCCCUAGGGUUGUAAAGCUCUUUUGUGCGGGAAGAUAAUGACGGUACCGCAAGAAUAAGCCCCGGCUAACUUCGUGCCAGCAGCCGCGGUAAUACGAAGGGGGCUAGCGUUGCUCGGAAUCACUGGGCGUAAAGGGUGCGUAGGCGGGUCUUUAAGUCAGAGGUGAAAUCCUGGAGCUCAACUCCAGAACUGCCUUUGAUACUGAAGAUCUUGAGUUCGGGAGAGGUGAGUGGAACUGCGAGUGUAGAGGUGAAAUUC
rnacentral:rRNA from 1 species